rnacentral:rRNA from 1 species
UACGUAGGGUCCGAGCGUUGUCCGGAAUUACUGGGCGUAAAGAGCUCGUAGGUGGUUUGUCGCGUUGUUCGUGAAAACUCACAGCUCAACUGUGGGCGUGCGGGCGAUACGGGCAGACUAGAGUACUGCAGGGGAGACUGGAAUUCCUGGUGUAGCGGUGGAAUGCGCAGAUAUCAGGAGGAACACCGGUGGCGAAGGCGGGUCUCUGGCAGUAACUGACGCUGAGGAGCGAAAGCGUGGGAGCGAACAGG